AACGAACGCUGGCGGCAGGCCUAACACAUGCAAGUCGAGCGAGGACUUCGGUCCUAGCGGCGGACGGGUGAGUAACGCGUGGGAACGUGCCCUUUGCUACGGAAUAGCCCUGGGAAACUGGGAGUAAUACCGUAUGUGCCCUUUGGGGGAAAGAUUUAUCGGCAAAGGAUCGGCCCGCGUUGGAUUAGGUAGUUGGUGGGGUAAUGGCCUACCAAGCCGACGAUCCAUAGCUGGUUUGAGAGGAUGAUCAGCCACACUGGGACUGAGACACGGCCCAGACUCCUACGGGAGGCAGCAGUGGGGAAUCUUAGACAAUGGGGGAAACCCUGAUCUAGCCAUGCCGCGUGAGCGAUGAAGGCCUUAGGGUUGUAAAGCUCUUUCAGUGGGGAAGAUAAUGACGGUACCCACAGAAGAAGCCCCGGCUAACUCCGUGCCAGCCGCCGCAGUAAAAC
rnacentral:rRNA from 1 species